CACCUCUACCGCUGUCCGAGAAGCUUCCAUGACCGUUGCCAUCGAGCUCACAAGUGAGAGAAUAGAGUUGCAGGUGAGAGGGAAAGGUGUUGCGCCGCCAUUCUUUACUGUGCAGCCACCGUCAUGCCUUGUAGUCGCCAGAGUUGCCACUACUGCGUGCCACCGCUGCUUCUCACCGCUGAGGAGAAGCCUUGCCUACGCUGCUGCCUUCCGGGCCAGAUUCACCGAGGGUGCUUGGAAUACAAAUCAUGAUGUAGCUGCUGCAGAAUAAGGUGAAAAGAGGGUUUAUCGCAUUAAAAUAGCUGCGGGUUUGAUUCUUUGAGCUUUACCUUUUCAGGAACCGGAUGAAGAAGCAUUAAGAAGAGUUAUACUGUGUUU